UUCUUUUGCUAGACCACUGCCUACUCUCUCAGUUGCCACCGCCUCCAAUAUGAACCCUAACCCUCUCUCUGUCACUAUCGCCACAUCUGACAUUGCUCCGAGAGAGACCGACGAUCAUAAACAAAUCAUGAACUAUCAGUGACACUGAUGAUCUCACCGAAUGAACUAUCAAUGACACUGACGAUCUCGAUGAUCUCUUUCUUCAACCUUAGCCGACUCUAACUCCCCCAAACAACCCUUUGUCAUCGGAGUUUCGAGAGGUACUGUUUCUGGUAAGACCACAAUGUGUGACAUGAUCAUUCAACAACUUCAUGAUCAUUGAGUGAUUUAGAUCUUGCCUACCAUGGUGCUUAGUAAAGCUGCACAUCUCCAGCAGUUAAUCUUAGCUUCAUAGGAAGGAGUAGUUGCUGUUGAAGCAAAACUUGUUGCCAAUUCGGACAAUCUUGUCGAGCUUGUUUCGGAUUGUGAAGUCCCGUAGAACUAAAAGUGUAUCCAUAGAGAGAAAGAAAUGUUGAUUUAGGAAGACAAUGAAAGAUUUGAUGAGUUGAAGAAUAGUGUUCUUGUUCAUCUCUCUGUCUCUCUCUAUGAUUUCUUUGUGUUUCUUUGCUCCAAAUCAGAUCCGAACCUUUUUUUUUUGUAAUUGUUAAUCUAUUGUUGUUGUUGUUGUUGAUGAUGAUAAUGAUUAUGAUAAUCAAACAAAUAAUUUUUUUUU